GCCAGAGUCAACAGAAAGUCGUUCAGAGCAAUAUUCCCCAUAAACUACAAAUUGUCGACGAUUUAAAGGCCAGCGCUGAACCGUGUCUGCGACUUACAUGGUGUGGAAGAGCUGUCGGUACUCGUCGUCUCCACUGCUCUCACUCACGAGGAUGUCCAGUUUGUCGAUCAGCUCAGACUCCACCUGUGGAAAUGGGAGGCCCAGCAUCAACUGCCUCAUCACAACAACUCCACGGAGAAAGUUUCAUACAGCCCACAAGUUCGGAAAAAAACGAAAAAAGGGCCCGAGGAAGCUAAUUCACGGCGCAGUUCAACUUCCCGCGAGCCUGAACAUCGACGACGAGGUGCGGGAGCCCGAACACGAAGAUGUCGCAUCAACGGCGCCGUCGACAUCCUGACCUCAAGCGAGCGAGUGCGGCUCGACACGGUGAUGCUCAGGGCUUCCAAGAUUGACGAGAAAGAAAAAAAAGCCGAGGAAAAACUCAAAGAAGUUUCGUCGACGUCCGCUACGACGCGGAAAGCUGUCCUGAUGGCCGGCGUCUCGGGCGCCGAUCAAGAAGCUCCCGAGAGUACAGAGAGUUUCAUCGUCGUCAGCCUCGACGUCGUGAACUCGCUUCUUCAACUCGCGAAGUGUAAAGCUUUUGCGGCGAUGUCGAACUCAUAAAAUGCGAUUGCGAGUAAGGACUUGCAGUAAAACUCAAGCUAUGUUGCAAGAUCUGCGGGGAUGCCGCAUCCGAGUGGAGUUCGCCACGGGUAGCAGUAAAAAUAUGUCCGUGAACAUUUUUUGCUGUGUUCUCGAAAUGAACUUUUUGCGCAGUUUGCUAUUUUGCGGAAGCCGUAUCUCGGCCUGUACACGACCGAUCUUCCUAAUUCUUUCUUUCUUUGUUAGGUGUAUAAGUGGGGUAUCCAAUAAGGGGUCUAAUUGCAACAACCUAGGCAUCAGCAUUUUUUGUUAGCACCUCCAAUAUACACUCCGUGCGAGAACUAUAGG